GGCAGCAGUGGGGAAUCUUCCGCAAUGGGCGCAAGCCCGACGGAGCAACGCCGCGUGAGUGAAGAAGGCCUUCGGGUUGUAAAACUCUGUCAUCAGGGAAGAAGAAAGUGACGGUACCUGAGGAGGAAGCCCCGGCUAACUACGUGCCAGCAGCCGCGGUAAAACGUAGGGGGCGAGCGUUGUCCGGAAUUACUGGGCGUAAAGGGCGCGUAGGCGGUUAUCCAAGUCAGGGGUGAAAACCUUGGGCUCAACUCAGGGCCUGCCUCUGAAACUGGGUAACUUGAGGGCAGGAGAGGGGAGUGGAAUUCCCAGUGUAGCGGUGAAAUGCGUAGAUAUUGGGAGGAACACCAGUGGCGAAGGCGGCUCUCUGGCCUAACCCUGACGCUGAGGCGCGAAAGCGUGGGGAUCAAACAGGAUUAGAUACCCUGGUAGUCCACGCCGUAAACGAUGAGUACUAAGUGU
rnacentral:rRNA from 1 species